AGUGAACGCUGGCGGUAGGCCUAACACAUGCAAGUCGAACGGCAGCACAGUAAGAGCUUGCUCUUACGGGUGGCGAGUGGCGGACGGGUGAGGAAUACAUCGGAAUCUACUUUUUCGUGGGGGAUAACGUAGGGAAACUUACGCUAAUACCGCAUACGACCUGCGGGUGAAAGCAGGGGGUCUUCGGACCUUGCGCGAUUGAAUGAGCCGAUGUCGGAUUAGCUAGUUGGCGGGGUAAAGGCCCACCAAGGCGACGAUCCGUAGCUGGUCUGAGAGGAUGAUCAGCCACACUGGAACUGAGACACGGUCCAGACUCCUACGGGAGGCAGCAGUGGGGAAUAUUGGACAAUGGGCGCAAGCCUGAUCCAGCCAUACCGCGUGGGUGAAGAAGGCCUUCGGGUUGUAAAGCCCUUUUGUUGGGAAAGAAAAGCAGCAGGUUAAUACCCCGCUGUUCUGACGGUACCCAAAGAAUAAGCACCGGCUAACUUCGUG
rnacentral:rRNA from 1 species